GGUGGCUCAGUGGUUGAGCGCUUGCCUUGAAUGCAUGAGGCCCUGGGUUCGAUUCCUCAGCACCA
rnacentral:tRNA from 1 species